rnacentral:rRNA from 1 species
AACGAACGCUGGCGGCGUGCUUAACACAUGCAAGUCGAACGUGAUUGAGAGCUUGCUCUCAUGAAAGUGGCGCACGGGUGAGUAACACGUGGAUAAUCUGCCUGGCGAUUCGGGAUAACACUUCGAAAGGGGUGCUAAUACCGGAUAAGCCCACAGUCUCUUCGGAGGGUGCGGGAAAAGGGGGCCUCUGUAUAUGCUCCUGUCGCUAGAUGAGUCCGCGGCCCAUUAGCUAGUUGGUAGGGUAAUGGCCUACCAAGGCUACGAUGGGUAGCUGGUCUGAGAGGAUGAUCAGCCACACUGGAACUGAGACACGGUCCAGACUCCUACGGGAGGCAG